AUUGAACGCUGGCGGCAUGCCUUACACAUGCAAGUCGAACGGCAGCACGGGAGCAAUCCUGGUGGCGAGUGGCGAACGGGGGAGUAAUGUAUCGGAACGUGCCCAGUCGUGGGGGAUAACGUCGCGAAAGCUCCGCUAAUACCGCAUACGAUCUAUGGAUGAAAGCGGGGCACCGUAUGGCCUCGCGCUAUUUGAGCGGCCGAUAUCCGAUUAGGUAGUUGGUGGGGUAAGGGCUUACCAAGCCGACGAUCUGUAGCUGGUCUGAGAGGACGACCAGCCACACUGGGACUGAGACACGGCCCAGACUCCUACGGGAGGCAGCAGUGGGGAAUUUUGGACAAUGGGCGCAAGCCUGAUCCAGCAAUGCCGCGUGCAGGAUGAAGGCCUUCGGGUUGUAAACUGCUUUUGUACGGAGCGAAAAGGCUCUCUCUAAUACAGGGGGCUCAUGACGGUACCGUAAGAAUAAGCACCGGCUAACUACGUGCCAGCCGCCGCCGUAAUAC
rnacentral:rRNA from 1 species